GCGAAACUCUUCGCCCCCGUUUGGCUCGGGGUUAAGAAAAAGUAGCUAUUCCAGGGAUAGGAUUAAGUUCAGGGUUAAAAUGGUGUUAAAAUUUUUUUGUGUUUGGUUGGAGGUUGGAGUUAGUCUAGGAUAGUGAAAAAAAAUGUUUGGUUGGAAUAGGUGGGAUAAAAAGAUAAUGAUUGAUAAAGAAGAAAAAUGUGAGAGCUCGGGAUGCGUGCGGGGUUAAAGUUGGGAGGGGAAGUGGGGUUAAUGAUUGAUAAAGAAGAAAAAGGUAAGGGUUCGGGAUGCGUGCGGGAUUAAAGUUGGGAGGGGGAGUGGGGUUAGUAAACCCCACUAACCCGGUUUGGGGUGGGGUUUACUAACCCCACCCCAAAAGAAUGGCGUUUGGGUAUAAAUUGGAGGUUAAGGAGUUAUUCCACCCCUUAACCCCCAACCAAACGGUGGCUUCAAGAACAAAAAAGAAAAGAAGGAAAAUUCUAAAGUUCUAGUUUUUUUUUUUUUUUUUUUUU
rnacentral:lncRNA from 1 species